ensembl:lncRNA
GGAAACUAAGGAGAGCACGAAGGGGAAGAAAGGCACCCGACACCCUCCCAGAGAAAACAUAGAACCACCACUGGGAUUGGUGAUUCUGUGGUUCUUGGAGACUCUGCAUCGCGUCGGAACACCAUGUGGUAUAGAUCAUUACAUCUUGGUACACAGAGCACUGGUGAGACAACAGGUUGGAUCAGAGGGAGAAGGUGUUUGGAGAAGGGAGAGGAAUGUAUAGAAAGCAAAAAGGGCGGAUGAGGACCGAGCCGGAGCUAAUAAACCAGCGGAGAGGAGGCUGGGGGUCGGUUUAGCUCAGGAAGUAGAGGGUGUCUUGUAACCGAAAGGUUGCUAGUUCGAUCCCCAUCUCCUCCUAGCUGAGUGUUGAUGUGUCCCUGAGUAAGUUACAUGGUGAUCACAGGUUUAGGAAUAAUUAUCUAGACUCCAAAACAUGAGCAAUUAGCGUUAAAAAUUGUCUGCACACCACACUCCACAGGAGUCAAUGGGUUCAAUGGCGCCAGGGUAAAGUGACUCAUCAAACGAGGAGCGGACCCAACCCAUGGACUCUGCGUGGAUAGGUGGAUGUUAUUUUGGUGCUUGGGCCUGACGAGGUCUAGGUGCCAAGAUAACAACACAAAUAAAAUAUUUCCUUCGAGAUUAUGAUAAGUAAUAGACAAUUUAUUAAAAGUGAUCUUAUAUUUAGAAAAAACAAUCGGCAAUACUUAAAAAUUAGACCAAAUGAGUAUGAUAAAACAUUGUCCAAAUUUCUAAUUUAGGUUAUCCACAAUGACAAAUGUCAUUUAAAAUAAAUAAGUAAAAUAAAAUAAAAAAGGGUGUGUGUGAGCCUGUUCUCGUGUGUGUGUCAGGGCUGCCGAGGUAGGGGAGAAUCCUCUCCUACUCCGAGUGAGUACACAAGGGGAUACCCAAGCACACUUCAGAUAAAACAAUAUGGUUAAUUACUAAAUAGAAACAAUGUAUCAAUUCAGUGUUGAAUAAACUAGUUAAGAUCAACAUAGAGGGUUUGGGUUUGUAGUGAAUCAAAAUAUGGAAAACACUAAAUGCAAUCAAUAGGUAGAAUAAAAGGUUUAAUUAGGUCGUCCAAUUUAAAUAGAUAGUGGAGGGCAAUCGGGUAGGAUUAUGAAGAGAAUUGUGAUUUUGAGUAACGGUUAAGACAAGUGAGUCGCCCAAUAUUGAAAAUGCAAGUUUUAAUAUUGUGAUUUUUGUUUUCUUUCACAUCUCCCUAGUUAAAGACAAUAGGUGGAUUGACGCUACAUCUGCUGGGAAGGAGACAUACAUGCUAUGUUGUCAAAUUGGAUUCGGAAGUAGUGGGUUUACCUUCAAAUGCCACUAAUACUGCUGCAACACUUUAAUAAUUUUAACUCUGAUAAAUUAUCUUUUGUUUUAUAGUCGCCCUGAUGUGUAUUCAUUACGCACACGUAUGGCUGCAUAAGGCAGAUGCGGCUGAAGACUCUGUCUCCAUCCCUCCACUUUGCGAUCUAUACCACCAUAUAGGUGGGGAUUGAUCGUAUCCCAGGUACGGCAUCCUGCAAUAAGCCAGUAUGGAAGGCUGGUUAGCCAACGACGGGUAAGAUCCCACCUUGAAGCCCGGGACAACCUAAAUCAGGCACAGUCACGAUUACUUGGCAGAGUCACUGUGAGCACUGGCUCACUUGAUCAUGGAGUGACGGACUGCAACCAUCAUAGGAAAAGCCGGCUGAUGAAAGGUGGAGGGGGAACAGGAGUCAGAUAUGUCAGCUAUGGCAGCAGAAGUGGUCUUGGAACGGGGCAUGUCGCGUUUUAUUUCAUUUUAUUUUACCUUUGUGGUAUAGAAGGCCACUAACGCAUUUACGUUUUUUUCGGUUUAGUGCAUGACUUCGGAACAGCGUGGUUUCGGGCGGCUGAUGGUAAACCCACCCAUAUUGGGCUUUGGAUUUGGACAUACUGGUUUCGAUUUCCCUUCCCAAAGGAUUGGUUUCAGUUUGCUGAUGCUUAAGGUUAGACGUUUCGACGUUGGUUGCACCAACGACGUUCUUAGAUUUGCUUAUCAUUUAAAGCGCAUGGUUUUGACCAUUGCGCAAGGGGGGAGGUAUUGAGGAGAAUUAGUAUGAAAUAUUUGAAAAAAACAGUGUUCAACAGAUGGUUAGAAGCAGUCCCAUCAGAAGACCAAAGUGCGGCUACGGUAAUCAAGGUUCUGACUAGAGAAGUCAUGCCAAGGUUUGGAAUUCCGUCACAAAUUAGCUCAGGCGACAGAGCUGCGUUUAUUCAGAAAACACUCAAACAAGUGAUUUAACAUCUGCAUGUCAAACAAAGAUUAGGCUGUCUACAUUCCUCAAACCACAAGGUAUGGUGGAGAGAGAAUCGGACGCUUAAGACAAAGAUUAACAAAAUUAAAUUAGAGUACUAAAUUAAAGGACUAAUGCAUUACGACUGACACUAAUGAGUUAUCGCAAAAACUAACAGAACGACGCAUCUAACCCCGCAUGAAAUGUUUACGGGUCGACCCAUGCCUUCACCUGUCAUUCGAGGGCCUCAUAAAGGACCUCCAUUAGAACAAUUGGAAACUGAAUUAAGACGUUAUAUGGGACAACUAACUGGCAUACACAGGCUUAUUUUUCAACAAGAGAAAGACAGAGUUCCAAAGUUGGAGAAGGAGCCACCAAGGGGGGUGGAGCCAGGUGACCAAGUGUACCUCAGGAUAUUCAGGAGAAAGUGGGACGAGCCCAGAAGAGAAUGACCAUACAAAGUCGCCAACGCAACACCAACAGCCAUCCAAGUGGAAGGAAGUGCCACGUGGUAUCAUCUCAACCACUGCACAAAAGCCGCUCAACCUAAAGCCAGGGAUGAGUGUGAGGAGGAGGAGCCAGACGCAGACACACGUGGGGCUGACCAGCUGCCCCAGGACCAGAUCCAGUCGAGCCAAGAGAUACAACAGCAUGAUGAUGCUGAAAACGGGGAGCCUGUUUCUGAUCCUUUACGGGUUGUGCCAGAUUUCGCUGGCACAAGCAUAGACCCCGAGGAAGGAUGAAACCACGGAGACAACUCAGACCUGGAAGAGCCAGGAAUCAGGGGCUGGUACUGAAGGAAGCCUAAGAGAAACACAGGACAAUCCGGCCCCAACUCACUCAGGAAUAGUCAACAAGAAAGGGAAAAUAGUCUUAUAUGCUCAGAUACCACCGCGAGACCAAGUUAAUGAAUUUGUGUUUACUGUUAUGUCGGAUAACCAACCGUUAUGUGCAUUAACCUUCAGCCAGUCUGGCAUAGAGAAGUCGGGUGACUGGGAGAGGAUGCUCUAUGGGGAGAUAGAUUGGAGUGACACUAGAAAGGAGACCGGAAUGUGAGAAUCGGACAUCAGAAGGAGGUCAUAUUCUCUUAACUGGUGACCUCUCCAAUGGGAACCACAACCAUUUCAGACAGUGUGAACAAAUGGACAUUGGACUAAUGGGUUCCAGGGCAUGGUGGCUGCGAACGGCAGCAACUACGAUGCCCAAACCCCCCACGUUAUAUAGUAUACCGGUACAUGACGAUAAUCAGAGCUAUUCAAAUCUAUGCAAGCUUGUUGACAAUCUUAGUUUUUAAUUUCUAUUAUUUACUUAUUUUUUGAAAUGUCAUUUUUUGAGUUUCAUAUUUUUAUGUCAUAUAUUCUGAAAUGCUAAUUUUCAAUGCAUGCUGAAAAUACUGUGUUAUGUGUGAAUUCUAGUUAGACAUGUUAGACAUUUGAUAGAUCUUUUUUGCCUUAAUCAGGUUGAGAUUCCUGAACAUGUUUAAAGGUUUUUAAUGAUGAUCAAAUGUAGUGCAAAAUAUGACCUAAAUGACUGUUAUGUUUUUGUUGUGGGGGGACUCGGCUGUUAUCGUUGUUGUUUUUCUUCACGAUAAAGUCUUUUGUCAAUUCUUG